rnacentral:rRNA from 1 species
UACGGGGGGGGUAAGCGUUGUUCGGAAUUACUGGGCGUAAAGGGCUCGUAGGCGGCCAACUAAGUCGGACGUGAAAUCCCUCAGCUUAACUGGGGAACUGCGUCCGAUACUGGAUGGCUUGGAUUUGGGAGAGGGAUGCGGAAUUCCAGGUGUAGCGGUGAAAUGCGUAGAUAUCUGGAGGAACACCGGUGGCGAAGGCGGCAUCCUGGACCGGCAUUGACGCUGAGGCGCGAAAGCCAGGGGAGCAAACGGG